GGGGGAGUAGCUCAGUUGGUAGAGCGCUCACUUCGCAUGUGAGAGGUAUCGGGAUCGAUACCCGGCAUUUUCA